CACACAUUAACUGUAACAAACCAAAUCAGAGGGAACCACGUCUGCUACUUCCAGAAUCCAUCUUCCACAAUCAUGUCCGGCUUCUUAGGUCAGGCACAGAAGAAAGCCCAGGAAGCUGCCCAAGAAACAACUAAAGAGGGAGAAAAGGUAAUCCAGGUCUGUGUUGAUAAGGGCAAGGAAGCUGGUCAAAAUGUAAUCGACCAAGGAUGUCAAGCUGCUCAGAAUACAUGUGACCAAGUAAGCGGGCAAGUUAAAGAGAAGCUCCCCACUGGAUGGUUGAAAUAACCACAUCAUACUAUAUGGAAAAUACAGAAAAGAUUUGCCAAACUGUAUAUUUACAGCAAAAUACAUUUUUAAUUUUAGUGGAGAAGUCUUUUAAGCUUCUAACUGUAUAAUAAAAUGUUCUAAUUCUCAGUUUAUAAAAACUUUCAACCAUUACCAUCA